UUUUUAGAAGACUUUGACUCACUGGGUAACGUGGAGUGGAAAGUGCCCGCAGGAUGUAGGACCUCUCUAACAUCAUCCCAGAAUCAGCCUGUGCUCCCCGGGCUCAUUCCCAAUUGCUGCCUCCCUGACUUGGUCUCAUUGUCCUCAAAUCAGACCUGCAGCUACGGUCCAAAGCAUCUGUAAACUUCAUCCUCAAAUGCACAGGAUCCACUGAGGACCCAACUUGUACUGCUGAGAACUAACCUACCUUCUGAACAAGGAGUCUGAUGUUUCUUUGGGAUCAUUGUUAGAAUGCCAGAUAAAAUAACAUGUAAGAGUUCAUUGUAGAUCACACAGUCUGAUCCGAGGAAGCAAUAAUCCCUUCUUUUAAAUGCAUUUUCUAGUCACAGUGUCCUCUGUCCAGGUGCUGAUCUCCCACUCUAGAAGGAGGAAUCAGCAAUGGCUGAAGGCACAGGUCUCCCAGGUUCACAGUCCCACUGCCGGGCAAUUAAAAAGCCUUGGUACAUCACACUCUGGGGACUGUUGUGGGGUGGGGG
rnacentral:lncRNA from 1 species